CAGGCACUGUUUCUUUAAGGAAAAGCAUGUGAUCAUAGCUUGCAUUUGGAGGAAGACAAAAUGGCUCUGGAUGGUUUUUGAGUCUUGCCUGCAAAGGCCCGACUUUGCUGGAAAGAAAAUGAAUCCUUCCAAAAAACAAACAAAUGCUGCUUUUAGGUGAGGAGGAAACCCACAGUGGAAGGAGAAGUUGUUUGCAAGUACAUAGCAAAGUAUAGCAAGCAAGGUGACUAAGACAUAUGUGAAGUUGGACCCAAGAGCCUUGCAUCAGUGAAAUUCUCACGUCAUGUGUACAAAAGAAAGACAUGGGAACACCAUCUUGUUAAAAAAAAUGCUAUGCUAGCAUGCCUUUAGAAGGAGCAGAGAUUUUCUAAGAUAUAUGUAUCUCUAUUUUCUAGAAGAACUAUUAACAGUUAAGUCAGUAUAGCAAAUAAAUAAAAUUCUGCUAUCUCUAAUAAGCCACCCUAAAUAUUUGGUACGUUUAGGGUAAACAUCUGUGUGUAUGCUUUCAUUCUACUUUAUACUUACAAUGCUAACUUUAAAAAUGUUUUAUGUAUGCAUGACACUUUGUUUUGAGAGCUGUAUUUCCAGAUUUUCAUCAUGAAACUGUGUAGUCUGAACCUUACCUGAAAUGUUACAGAAUGAUCACAACUAUAAUAAAAUUAUGAAAAACA